GCCGCUACGGCAUAGUGGUCAAGAGUGUCAGACUAGUAUGCUGAAGCUGUGGGAUCGAAUCCCCAUUUGUGCUA
rnacentral:tRNA from 1 species